rnacentral:rRNA from 1 species
CGAAUCCCAGAAAUAACGUCUCAGUUCGGAUUGUAGUCUGCAACUCGACUACAUGAAGCUGGAAUCGCUAGUAAUCGCGAAUCAGAAUGUCGCGGUGAAUACGUUCCCGGGUCUUGUACACACCGCCCGUCACACCAUGGGAGUCAGUAACGCCCGAAGUCAGUGACCCAACCGGGAACCGGAGGGAGCUGCCGAAGGUGGGACCGAUAACUGGGGUGAAGUCGUAACAAGGUAAC